GUGCCAGCAGCCGCGGUAAUACCGGCAGCCCGAGUGAUGGCCGAUCUUAUUGGGCCUAAAGCGUCCGUAGCUGGCCGUGCAAGUCCAUCGGAAAAUCCACCCGCCCAACGGGUGGGCGUCCGGUGGAAACUGCGUGGCUUGGGACCGGAAGGCGCGACGGGUACGUCCGGGGUAGGAGUGAAAUCCCGUAAUCCUGGACGGACCGCCGAUGGCGAAAGCACGUCGCGAAGACGGAUCCGACAGUGAGGGACGAAAGCGCGGGGAGCAAACAGGAUUAGAUACCCGAGUAGUCC
rnacentral:rRNA from 1 species